rnacentral:lncRNA from 1 species
ACGCUCAAAGCUCAACCCAACCCAUUCAUCUUAUUCUCUAUUUUACAAUUAGUCAAAUAUCUUUUUUCUUUUCUUUUUUUUAAGAGAUAGGUAGCACGCUACUUGCUUAUUUUAUUUCAUUUAGAAAUAAAUCUAGUUGGAAAUGUGAAUCAACUAAGAUUUGAACUUGAGUCUCGAGUACCAACCAUCAAAUUCUUUGCCACUUACUUUAGAGACGGUAUGUAAUUAGUCAAAUAUCUAUACUAUCUCAAUCGGAGUUAAUAG